GGCUACUUAUAUGGUCCUUGCGGGUACCAGGGAGGUGAACCCUGAUCUAGAGUGUGAAUUGAAGCUCUCUGAAACAUGUAAAUGGCAAAUCGGUGGAAGUGCACCUGCUCUAUGUUUUUAAGUGAGGACAAAGCUGAGUGAAAUGUAUUUAUAGCUUUGGAAACAGGUUCUAACUUUGUUUGUGUCUCUUUCUAAAGGACACAAAGUCUGUGCAAAAGGCUUGUCUGUGACCUGCUCGAACCCUAAACCACGCAUGCCCUGUGGCAACCUUGAAUUUUAAUCUUUUAUUAAUAACAUCUGCAAAGUCAUUAGGUGUGUUUGAUAUGAAUAGAGCGAGGGUGGAGUUGUCAGUAAGAGCCACAUUAGGCUCACUGAUUCAAAGUGUCCUAUUCAGGCAUGAACAAGACAUUUUAAAUUGCUGAGAACUACCAUUAACAAACACGGGUUGUCAUAGCGAGAUCAUUUCAACAGCUUGAUGGCAGCAAGAGACAUGCAAGAGAAGUACAGCAGGGAACAUGCAUUUGCGAAAAGGAGGAGGACGAUUGAAGACAUGGGUUGCACCCAUGCCGGCGCCAAAUAGUUCAUUUUUCUCUUAAGGCACUGGGAGAAUGAGGAAGAAGCGAACGAUUUUACUUGUCGUGCUGGUCACCAGCCUACACUGUCACACACUGCUGUUGGAUGGCAUUCCACUCCUCCCCCAGGAGUCAACUAAUGUAGUGAUGUUCUUUCGGUCGCUCUGGCACAAAGCUUAUGCCGCAAGUUUUUUGUUGGGUUGUGAUCAGGAGUGUUGCCAAGCCACUCCAUUGUUUUUACUGCCGCGCUUGCCAACUUGCGUGGGUGGAACCUGUACUCAUGGCUGAAAAUAACAUCUCUGCGUGUGUCCAGGUUCAGCUUGCAAUCGGGCACCGCAACAGCAACAGCAGAACGAUCUGUUUGGUCGAGGCACCAAGGCACAAUUUACAUGGUGGCGAUGCAUUUAUUCAGUUACACAGCUCACCCCACAAACGUUACAAAUGGGCCAACAUGCAAAACGGCAUCUGCCGUGGAGUAUACAUGAAGACCAGAGAGCUGUCUACGGAAGGAAAGGAAACCAUUUGAAGCUGAGUGAAAAUUGAUCCGAGCUAUUGGGCAAAUCUUGGCCAUAGUCUUGAAAAGGAAAGAAACAACAGGUCGCCCAAGGUUAUCCACAGCAGUUGAUGACAAAAACACUGUGAGAGAAACAC